rnacentral:rRNA from 1 species
UACUUAGUGGCAGACGGGUGAGUAACAUGUAGGUAUCUACCCUUUGGCCUGGAAUAACACGAGGAAACUUGUGCUAAUACCGGAUAAGUCUUUACAGAGAAAGCUUUAUGCACCAUUGGAUGAGCCUGCACUAGAUUAGUUUGUUGGUGGGGUAAUGGCCUACCAAGACUAUGAUCUAUAGCUGAUUUGAGAGGAUGAUCAGCCACAUUGGAACUGAGACACGGUCCAAACUCCUACGGGAGGCAGCAGUAGGGAAUCUUGCACAAUGGAGGAAACUCUGAUGCAGCGAUGCCGCGUGAGUGAAGAAGGCCCUUGGGUUGUAAAGCUCUUUCGUCGGGGAAGAAAAUGACUGUACCCGAAUAAGAAGGUCCGGCUAACUUCGUGCCAGCAGCCGCGGUAAUACGAAGGGACCUAGCGUAGUUCGGAAUUACUGGGCUUAAAGAGUUCGUAGGUGGUUGAAAAAGUUGGUGGUGAAAUCCCAGAGCUUAACUCUGGAACUGCCAUCAAAACUUUUCAGCUAGAGUAUGAUAGAGGAAAGCA